rnacentral:rRNA from 1 species
GAUGAACGCUAGCGGCAGGCCUAACACAUGCAAGUCGAGGGGCAGCAUUGGUACUUGUACCAGAUGGCGACCGGCGCACGGGUGCGCACCGCGUAUGGAACCUGCCUCUUGCAGGGGAAUAGCCUUUGGAAACGAAGAUUAAUGCCCCGUAGAACCCUUUUUGAGCAUUUUUAAAGGGUUAAAGGCUUCGGCCGGCAAGAGAUGGCCAUGCGUCCCAUUAGCUCGAUGGUAGGGUAACGGCCUACCAUGGCCACGAUGGGUAGGGGCCCUGAGAGGGGGAUCCCCCACACUGGUACUGAGACACGGACCAGACUCCUACGGGAGGCAGCAGUGAGGAAUAUUGGACAAUGGAGGGGACUCUGAUCCAGCCAUGCCGCGUGCAGGAAGAAUGCCCUAUGGGUAGUAAACUGCUUUUAUACGGGAAGAAAAAGGGCCACGUGUGGCCUGUUGACGGUACCGUAAGAAUAAGGACCGGCUAACUCCG